rnacentral:rRNA from 1 species
UUGGAGGCAGCAGUGGGGAAUAUUGGACAAUGGGCGAAAGCCUGAUCCAGCAAUGCCGCGUGUGUGAAGAAGGCCUGCGGGUUGUAAAGCACUUUCGGUUGGGAAGAAAAGACCAAAGCUAACACCUUUGGGACUUGACACUACCUUCAGAAGAAGCACCGGCUAACUCCGUGCCAGCAGCCGCGGUAAUACGGAGGGUGCGAGCGUUAAUCGGAAUUACUGGGCGUAAAGCGCGCGUAUGUGGUUUGAUAAGUCGGAUGUGAAAGCCCCGAGCUUAACUUGGGAACUGCAUUCGAUACUGUCUAACUAGAGUAUGGUAGAGGAAAGCGGAAUUCCCGGUGUAGCGGUGAAAUGCGUAGAUAUCGGGAGGAACAUCAGUGGCGAAGGCGGCUUUCUGGACCAAUACUGACACUGAGGCGCGAAAGCGUGGGUAGCAAACAGGAUCAGAUACCCGGGUAGUCCG